AUUUAACAGAUGAGGAAAACAGUUACUCAGAAAGUGGAACACACUUAUCCAAGUGGCAAGAGUAGGACUUGAACUUAGACCUUGUGUGACUCUAGAAGGUGAGCUCUUUCCCUGAAUAUCAACUAUUGUGGGCAAGACAGGACCACUUCCAGCAAGAGAAGUGAAGAAAUUCCUGAUUCCAAAGGACUAGAGGGUAAGAAUGGAAAGGACUGAUAUCUUCUCGGAUGACUCAACAGCUUGAGAUUUUUGCUAGUUCUUUACUUCUUCCUUGGGCAGUAAUAAUUCCCAAUUUAGGAGGCUCCAUGGCCUUCAUUGAAUGAAGAGCUGAAAGAGCCAGAAGCACAAGAGCCAAAUGAAAAUUAUCUAUCUCAAAGUUGUAUAGACUCUUUCCAGCCCCCUCACUUUAUAUGCAAGGGGAUUAUGACAGAAAGGAUCUAUGCCUUGUCCAUGAUUACACACAACUCUUGGAUAUAGAACCAAGACUAGAGGAGAGAAAUUAUUAUUACAGUCAUUUUACAAAUACAACAGUUGAAUCCUAGAUUGGUUAAAUAACUUCAUAGGUAUCUUGCAACCAAUUGGAGUAGCAAGAAGUUUCAGAGAAAGGUUUGCUGCCUUCUGGCCAUCAGUACUUCGAACCCCCACUAUAUCAUGUGAUGCUCAGAAUCUUUCGAAAUUCAUAUAUUUCCCAAAUAAAAAGAGAAAAAUUUUCUAUGUCUAAAUUUUGGUUUUUCACUCUGCCCAACCUAUUCCAGCUCCAGAUGUUUCACUGACUUCAUAGUACAUCAAGGAUUAUUAGCCUCCCUCUAAAAAGUCACCAAAGAGAUUAUAUAAAUAGACUUAUGCUAGUGAAAGAUUUCAAUUAGAAUCAAGUAAAAACUUCUAACCAGUGAGAAACUGGAAUGAAGCAAUUGAGAAUGAAUGUGGAAGGGUUGGAGGCUGAAUCUCCUUCUCAAGGGGCUUCUUGGAUUUUUUUUUUUUUUUUAAGUACCAAUGAAUUCCUUUGGACCAAGAUAGUUGGAGAAAGUAAUAAGUUACUGGCCAGUAUUGCAAGGUAUGGGGACAGGUCAGCAAAGAAAUGAGAGGGUUUAUAAAGAAUAGUUUUUACCACCAUCCUACCUCAGAGAGGCUUAUCUAAUGGGAGCAGAUGGAGGGAGCCAGGAGGAUAGCUGUAUUCUUCAACAAAAAGAUAGGCUCUCAUACAACCCAGAGUGGAGGGAGGGGGGAGCCCCUUUGGGAGAGCCUCCUGCCUUUCUUGCUCUAGGGUCUAGGAGCCUGCAGGCCCUGGCUGAUUUGCAUAGCUCUGGCAGCUGCUGUGAUAAUCAUCAAAGUCCAGUAGCAGGAUGACUGGCAAUGACCUGGAAUAAAUUGCAUAGCACUUGAAUUAAGUGAUUUCUGUCAUUUUUCAAUUCUCAGAUUUCAAAGGAUUUGGGUAUGUGCUUUGUGAUAGUUUCAAAGGAAGCAGCCAGAUGAUACAGUGGAUACCAUCCUGGGCCAGGAGUUAGGAAGUUCCUGAAUUGAAAUCCAGCCUCAGACAAUUAUUUACUUAUACAGGCUUAGUGGUAUAACCCUGGAGAAGUCACUUAAUCCCGUUUGCCCCAAUUUCCUUGUUUGUAAAAUAAACUGGAAAAAGAAAUGACAGACCAUUCCAGCAUCUCUGCUAAGAAAACCCUAAUGGGGUUAUGAAGAGUUGGACAUGACUGAAACAAACAAUAACAACAAAAUGAUUUCAAAGAUGCCGGGAAGAGGAAAUUGCCCCUAGCCAUGGGCUUAGCUUUUGACAGAGUGUACCAAAGUAUCUGCCAAUGCUAAUAGCAAAUUCAAGACAUGAGACUGAAACUCCAAAAUGACAUCAUCCUAUAUUCUCUCCUCACACAUUUCAAGGAUUGGGGUCUUAUAAUCAGGAACAAAGGAUGCUCCCAACUUUCUCAAUUCUACUUUUUUCUCAUCCCAUUUCCUAAACAAAGUACAUCUCUCCAUCUGCCAGUCAAUAUUUUUAAAACACCUACUAUGUGCCAGGUACUAUGCUAAGUGCUGGGAAUGCAAAAGUAAAAACAACAAAUAAAUAACAACAGUCCCCACUCUUAAGAGGCAAUACUGAGGUGGACAGUAUGCAAACAACUAUGUACAAACAAGAUCCACACAAGAAAAAAAAAAGAAGAUAAUCAAAAGAGAGCAGGAACUAGCCAUCGAGAAAGGCUUCUUAUGGAGGGUACCCAUUUUUCCCUACUUUAAAUUCUUUGGAAAAUAAAGCACAGAGAAGUUUACACUUUGUUAUUGAGAAGAAAGACUUUCUUAAGGGCCAGAAGAUAUUUGUACCUAUGGUCUAUGGGGAGUCCAAAGUUUGGGCACUUUCUGGGAAUGGGGGAGUGGCACUGGCCUGGCAUCCUGAACAUUCUGCCCAGUUGGAAGGAAUGCAAGUAUAGAGAAAUCAAGACUACAAAGAAGAUAAGAUAUAAAAGCAGUUGUGUCCUGGAGCCAGCUGGAGAGUUGAUUGUUAAAUGUAUUUGUUUAUACCACUGAAAUUAGCAAAGACUACAAAUCCAUGCUUGAUUUAUUUUUUUGUUGAUUAUUUGGUUUAAAAAAAAAACCUGAUGUAGAAAAUGUUAAUAAAGCACAUUCAACUUCAAAAUG